GAUGAACGCUAGCUACAGGCUUAACACAUGCAAGUCGAGGGGAAACGAUAUCGGAAGCUUGCUUCCGAUAGGCGUCGACCGGCGCACGGGUGAGUAACGCGUAUCCAACCCGCCCACCACUUGGGGAUAACCUUGCGAAAGUAAGACUAAUACCCAAUGACGUCUCUAGAAGACAUCUGAAAGGGAUUAAAGAUUUAUCGGUGAUGGAUGGGGAUGCGUCUGAUUAGCUUGUUGGCGGGGUAACGGCCCACCAAGGCGACGAUCAGUAGGGGUUCUGAGAGGAAGGUCCCCCCACAUUGGAACUGAGACACGGUCCAAAACUCCUACGGGAGGCAGCAGUGAGGAAUAUUGGUCAAUGGGCGAGAGCCUGAACCAGCCAAGUAGCGUGCAGGACGACGGCCCUAUGGGUUGUAAACUGCUUUUAUAAGGGAAUAAAGUGGGUCACGUGUGACUUUUUGCAUGUACCUUAUGAAUAAGGACCGGCUAAUUCCGUG
rnacentral:rRNA from 1 species